rnacentral:lncRNA from 1 species
GUAGCGAGCCUGUAAUCCCAGCUGCUGGGGAGGCUGAGGCAUGGGAAUCUCUUGAACCCGGGAGGCGGAGCUUGCAGUGAGCCGAGAACACGCCACCGCACUCCAGCCUGGGCAACAGAGCGAGACUCCGUCUCACAAAAUAAAUAAAAGCCCUGUCUCCAAAUAUGUCACAUUGUGAGGUACCCGGGGUCAAGACUUCAACAUAAGUUGGGGGGGCGGUGCAGGGCAUAACCCUGCCCAUGACAGCCCUGGUUCAUUUCUGAACUGGUUGAAGGCUGCCUCCCUCUGCCCUUGACGCCGCACCACCUUCCUGCCUGGAUCCUCUGCUCCCAUGUGCUGUCCACAUGCUGCUCGAGGACUCCUUCUAAUGCGCCACCUAUCCUGCUUCUCAGCCCUCAGUGAAGCCCAGUUCCUUCACAGGACGCAGGAAUCCUUCUCGAACCUGGCCCUACCUUUCUCGCCUGCCUGUGUUCCUUCCAUACUUCUUGUCUUGCGCUUGUCCCAGUGGGUGCUGAACUGCUGUGACCUGGCUGUGCUGUUUCCUGCCUCGAUACCUCUGCUUCUAUUUAUGCCCUCACCCUGAGUUUUUUGCCUUUGCCUGCCUACCCCUUAUUCAUUCUUCAAAAUUGACAGUGAGAGGGAGACUUUUGUGGUUCCUUGAAUUCCAUCCCAGCUCUGGCUUCUGGACCAGAGAGACUUGCGUGCACGCACAGAACCCAGCGCAGGCAGACGGCAUGUGGACAGAUCACAGCUAGCUGCAGGCCUCACCUUAGGGGAAAUUUGCGGCAAUGUGGAAAACAGAAGAGCUAUCGCUGACUUUGCACACAGCGGCCCUUUGUGAGGAACAAUGACAAUGACUUCCACCUCUUCCGGGGAGAAGCCCAGAUGAGGAGGUCAGUUGCUGUGGCCUGUCAGCCCUAGAGGUGAUGUCACCGUCUCCCGAGGACAAAACCUUCAUUUAGCUGCAAGAGGGAACAGUUGAGUAGUAAAGUGCUUAUUGUUGUGGGUCAUCCUUUGGCUCAGAUUUUGUAAACAGAUUCAUCUUGAAUGACUGCAUGCAUAGGGAUUACAGGAACGACUGCAUUGUCUGAAAUGACAAGCCUGGAAAUUUCCACUGUAGGGGGAUGUCAUGGGAUUCACUACUGGUAUAGACAUUAAAACUUACAAAGAAGAAAAUUCUGUAGAAAUAAAGACAUGCUUAAUAUAUUUAUUUGAAGAAAGCAGAAGGAAAAUAAGUCUGAUGUGUAUCGCAUGGGAAGAGGGACAUUAUGACGGCAUAAAAAAGUUAAAAUGGGCCAGG